AGCAGCCGCGGUAAUUCCAGCUCCAAUAGCGUAUAUUAAAGUUGUUGCAGUUAAAAAAGCUCGUAGUUGAAUUUCGGGGUCAGUAGGUCGGUCGUGCCACUGGUAUGAACUGGUUUUACUGAUUCCUCCCUCUUGAAGAACUGUAAUGCCAUUAAUUUGGUGUUGCAGGGAAUCAGGACUGUUACUUUGAAAAAUUAGAGUGUUUAAAGCAAGCUAACGCUUGAAUACAUUAGCAUGGAAUAAUGAAAUAGGACGUUCGAUCCUAUUUUGUUGGUUUCUAGGAUUGACGUAAUGAUUAAUAGGGAUAGUUGGGGGCAUUAGUAUUCAAUUGUCAGAGGUGAAAUUCUUGGAUUUAUUGAAGACUAACUACUGCGAAAGC
rnacentral:rRNA from 1 species